ensembl:snRNA predicted gene, 23026
GUGCUGGAUUCAGCAGCACAUAUGGAAAAAGAUUCAGUAACAGAGAGGAUGAACAAGGCCCCUCUGGGAGGAGGGCAUGCAACUUCAUAAAGUGUCCUCUUACUCU